CCUACGGGAGGCAGCAGUAGGGAAUUUUCGGUAAUGGGGGGAACCCUGACCGAGCAACGCCGCGUGAACGAAGAAGUUAUUCGUAAUGUAAAGUUCUUUUUACAGGGAAGCAAGAGAAAUUUGACGGUACCUGAAGGAUAAGCCCCGGCUAACUCCGGGCCAGCAGCCGCGGUAAUAGGUAGGGAGCGAGCGUUAACCGGAAUUAUUGGGCGUAAAGGGUGCGUAGAUGGCAUUGUAAGUCUUUUGUAAAAAUGCUGGGCUCAACCCAGUAGGGCAGAAGAUACUGCAAAGCUAGAGUAUGAGAGAGGCAAGCGGAACGAGAUGUGUAGCGGUAAAAUGCGUAAAUA
rnacentral:rRNA from 1 species